UCGCCACUUUCGCCAACUCUUCCUAGACCUUCGCCAUCGCCAUCGCCAUGUCGGAGACCGCUCCCGCCGCGCCCGCUGCCGCGCCCCCCGCGGAGAAGACCCCCGUGAAGAAGAAGGCGGCCAAGAAGCCCUCCGGGGUGCGCCGCAAGGCGUCCGGGCCGCCGGUGUCCGAGCUCAUCACCAAGGCGGUCGCCGCCUCCAAGGAGCGCAGCGGCGUGUCGCUGGCCGCGCUCAAGAAGGCGCUGGCGGCCGCGGGCUACGACGUGGACAAGAACAACAGCCGCAUCAAGCUGGGCCUCAAGAGCCUGGUGAGCAAGGGCACCCUGCUGCAGACCAAGGGCACCGGCGCCUCGGGCUCCUUCAAGAUCAGCAAGAAGGCGGCCUCCGGGGAGGCUAAGCCCAAGGCCAAGAAGGCGGGCGCGGCCAAGCCCAGGAAGCCCGCGGGCGCGGCCAAGAAGCCCAAGAAGCCCGCGGGCUCCGCCACCCCCAAGAAGAGCGCCAAGAAGACCCCGAAGAAGCCCAAGAAGCCGGCGGCGGCGGCGGGAGCCAAGAAAGCGGCCAAGAGCCCCAAGAAGGUGAAGGCCGCCAAGCCCAAGAAGCCGGCCAAGAGCCCGGCCAAGGCUGUGAAGUCCAAGGCCGCCAAGCCCAAGGUUGCCAAGACCAAGAAGGCUGCCCCCAAGAAGAAGUAGGUUCACAACCGCUUCUACAACCCCAACGGCUCUUUUCAGAGCCACCACUGAUCUCGAAAGAGAGACGAGCACUCCUCACCCGCCAUUUACCCGGCUCUCCCCUCCCCGCCCGCCCCUUUAACCUUUCAUUCUAACGCAGUGUCGCUGGAGCAGCACCGGAGGGGCCUGCGGACACCGGGAGGAGGGGGCAGUGUGGGCCUCGGAAGGGCGGUCGCUGGAGGUGACAGGCAGACCAUCCGCAUUGGGAACGGGCUGCUGUGGGGGGACAGACAGUUCCUGGUCCGAUCAGCGGAACCGCCCUGGGCAGCCCUGGCUCCACGGGCCGGUGGACAGGAACGCGAUACCAGCCGGUUCCCGAGCCGCGGGGAUGGCACCAUUAGGCCCGGGGAGCUUUCAAAAGUCCCGCCCGCUCGCGGGUUGGCGCACGCCCGUCGUUCUCGUGCUGGAUGCCAUUGGACAGUGGCAGCUGCUGUGGCACGUUUGCUUUUUUUUUUUUUUUUUUUUACUUGUUCUGGCGUUUUUGUUGUUGGGUUGAGUUUGCCCUUCUCGCUGGGUGUGGCAAUGCUUCUGGCAUGUUUUGGAAAGUCAGGCUGCUGUGUCCUGGAGCGUUUUUUGGCCUCCAGCCCUGGGAGGAGGCGGCGGGGGCGCCUUCUCGCUCAUUCUUUUCAUUCCCGUUUUUCUGGCGACGAGAAAGCGCCCUUGAGGAAUGGCUGCCGCCCAGGUCUCGGCAGCUGCGGGGUCUUUCUGUCCCUCGGACCCUGUAACCUUGAACUUGGGUGUGACCGGUCGGAGCGCAUCAAAAACAACCUUUGUUCGCCAUGUUGUCCUGACGGGCGGCGCCCCAUCCUCCGAUAGACAAACAUGUAAACCCCGAAGAUGCUUUAAACGCAGAGAGAGAGAGAGAGACCCAAAUGUCUCCAUGCAGGAGGGAAAAGCGUCGGUGAGCCUUGGAUCUGAGUCUGUGAGGGUGAUGUCAGUAAGGGCGUUAGUUUUCAUCGACAGUGUCAUCCGUGGGUUGUGUUACACUCGGGGCGUUUCUGCUGGAUGCAGCCCAGCGGGCAGUUUCAAUUCUGCACAGAUCUUUCUGAGACAACUUCCAGGGAGAGGGGCCUCGGGGCCUGCCGCGCAGUUCUAUCUGGAUCUGUUGCCCCAGCUCCUGGGAGGUAAUUCCCGCAUUAGGGGGCGGGGGGGGGGGGGUGACUCGAAUUCGUGCGCCCCGCCCCGCCCUCUCUCCUGGGCAGAGAGAGCUUAAUCUUCGUCGUCUGUGUAAUCACUUUGAACAGAAAGACUCACUCACGACUACAACACACACGAAGAAAGAUGGUUGUCUCAUGUUUUUCCCCAUUUUUCUGUUGUUAAUUUUACACUUAAAAUUGUGAGCCCUCUGCAUGUUCGUGUACAAGUAUGGAUACGAAUAUAUGGAUCAUUUUUGAUAUGCGAAUGCAUGGAUAUUUUUAUAGGACUUACAUUAUGGAUAUAUGAAUGUACAUGGGUAUUUUCCUCAAGACCAUUUACUAACUGCCUUUUCUGCCUCUCCUGCCCUCCCCAGUCCACCCCCACUUGAGAUAGGACCUUAUCACAGUUAUUUUGUUUUCUCUGUUCCUGCUGGCAAUGGCAAUCUAAUAUUCUAGAUUUCUUGAGGGCCAGUAUUCCAUCAACUGUACAUAGAAGAUACCCAGUGACUGAAGGAAUCUGUGCCUGAGCCAAGUUAUCUCCACAGCAGUGCUAGCUGUUCAUAGCCACGUAAAUAAGGAGCAAAGACACAGGUGAAAUCAUUCUAAGAAGAUAGUUUAUUUAACCCAAUAUGUCCAGAACAUCACCAGAUCAUCCUGUGAGGUUACUUAACAUGGAACCCCCUUUUCAUGCACAGGUGACUUAUUUUUCCACUAUAAAUUGAUGUUCGGUAUCUAGUUUUGUCUUUGUAAUCUAGUGAAGGUUUUAAAGAGUCACCAAGUUGCAUACACUGCAGGCCUCAGAAAAUUUUGAUCUAUUCCCUAUUAUCUUGUUUUAUAUUUGGAAAGUUUAAAAAAGGAACACAUCAAUGCUUCUGUAUUUAUUAAAAGGGGGCCUGGGUGAAGGGAGAGACAAGUUCUACAGUGGCUACCUUUUGUGGAUGAAAAAGGAGUGCUGUAAUGCGUUCCUAGCUGGGCAGGUCAUAGUGGGCAGUCUCGCCCCAGGCACAGAACAUUUGUUAAAAGGUUUAUCUAUGCCUUUGAAACCCAGCAAAGAGCUCGCCUACCUGGUGGUGCUGACAGUAACCAGUUAUGCGGACACCAAGGUGCAGAAAAGAACCAGGCACUCCGUAGGUGUUAAAUAAUUUAAAUUAUAUAAAACCCCAACUCCCCAACAGUGUACCGACAAGGGUUUUACAGAACGAAAGUCCUCAUGAGUAAGGGGUUUGGGGCCAUGGGUCCUGCUGGUUGGUUGGUCAGGUUUCAUGAGGGUGUGGCCAGGGAGAGCUAUGCAGCUCCAGGGCUCAGGGACUGAAUUUAGGCCUCGACCUUAUCUUUGCUGUAGGCAUGGAGACAGACAGGAGCUGGGCAAGGACAAUGGGCCAGGUACAGAAGGUCAACAGGGUGGAAGCCCCAGGUGCCUAGCAACCAGCAAUCAGUGGUAGGGUGGGCCCUCCCCCCAGGGAGACUUCCCCUCCCCCCUUCACUUUUCUCCCUGAAGAUAACAUCUGGGCCUGUUG